rfam:Agaricus bisporus var. burnettii JB137-S8 unplaced genomic scaffold AGABI1scaffold_18, whole genome shotgun sequence.
GGUCGAAUGGUCUAGUGGUUAUGAUUUCUGUCUCACACACAGAAGGUCCCCGGUUCGACCCCGGGUUCGACCA